rnacentral:rRNA from 1 species
UACGGGGGGGGCAAGCGUUGUUCGGAAUUACUGGGCGUAAAGGGCGCGUAGGCGGUUCUUCAAGUCAGUCGUGAAAUCUCCGGGCUUAACCUGGAAGGGUCGAUUGAUACUGUUGAACUAGAGUGUAGAAGAGGCAACUGGAAUUCCGUGUGUAGCGGUGAAAUGCGUAGAUAUACGGAGGAACACCUGCGGCGAAGGCGGGUUGCUGGGCUAACACUGACGCUGAGGCGCGAAAGCUAGGGUAGCAAACGGG